rnacentral:RNase_P_RNA from 1 species
GAGGAAAGUCCGGGCUCCAUAGGGCAGGGUGCCAGAUAACGCCUGGGGGGGAAACCCACGACCAGUGCAACAGAGAGCAAACCGCCGAUGGCCCGCGCAAGCGGGAUCAGGUAAGGGUGAAAGGGUGCGGUAAGAGCGCACCGCGCGGCUGGUAACAGUCCGUGGCACGGUAAACUCCACCCGGAGCAAGGCCAAAUAGGGGUUCAUAAGGUACGGCCCGUACUGAACCCGGGUAGGCUGCUUGAGCCAGUGAGCGAUUGCUGGCCUAGAUGAAUGACUGUCCACGACAGAACCCGGCUUA